rnacentral:tRNA from 1 species
GGGGUUGUGGCUCAGUGUUAGAGCGCUUGCCUAGCACAUGCAAGAUCUUGGGUUCAAUCCUCAGUACCUCA